rnacentral:lncRNA from 13 species
CUACUUGCAUCACCUAUAACCCACUCACAAAUGCCCAAUUGUCUGUCUCUCCAUCAAUCUGUCUGACUAACAUUUACAACCACAAAAGUGGUUUUCUGUCUUUUUACAGAGACCUCAGAGCAAACUUCAACUCCAGAACAGUGUGGACUGAAGCUGUCAUGCUCCUUGGAGAUCUGCACCAGAGAGGGACUGGCUCA